AUGGAGGACAGAAAAUCCUUGAAUUUGCUCUGCGGUAACAUUUAAUCUCAGGUGCAGGAGUUGCAGGUUUGUCACAAUGAGGAUUUUAAUCUCAUUGUCUGUGUGUCUGCUGUUGUUGAUUUGUGGUGGAAUUAUCAAUGGAGAAACAUCAGG